UUGUUCGGAAAAUUUAAACCCUAUUUUUUAUUUUAUAAACUAUUUAAAUUUUUUAAAAAAAUUUACAAAAAUAAUACUAUAAGGAUCACCACCGUAAAAAGAAAAAAUUGAAAAAAUAUUCUUGCACCUAUUACUUAUUACAUACAGUGUAAUAAAUAUUUGUCAUUUAUAUUUUAAAGUAAAACCAUAUCAGUCUGGUUAAGAUUAGCUAUAUUGUAUGUGUCGAAUCAUUUUCUAAUUAACAAUUUUCAACAAACUAUAUUGAGCCGUACGCUAAGUCGUCUAUCUUUAUAGUAUAAAAAUAAUAUAAAUACAUGAACAAACAUUCCCUUCCUUGCUACAUUUUCUCACUACUUUGCUUUUUGUCCUCAAAUUUUCUCCUCUCCGCUCAAUGUACCAUUCAGUCUUCCUUUCAUACGAAUGGUUCAGGAAUGAUCAUCGAAUUUUUGCAAACAAUAUUAUGUAAUUAAAGAGAGCUAUUUCAUGCGAAUCCUGCUAUGGUUGGAUUAAGGUAGAGUCUUAAUUGGAUUCACAUAUCACGAAGCUGCAACGAUCGUGAUCGAGAUGGAAGGAGUUUAUGCCAACAAGAAGCAAACUAACCAGAUGAAAAAGAUAAUUUCACCUUGAGAACGGUACGUAUACCAGUUUAUUAUAUCUAUAUUUUUUAUUUGCUAGUUUGUUUGUGUGGUAUACUCAUUUGGUAAUAUAUCUUAUUACUAUGAAAUGCACACUAGAUAGUUGGUUUUAAAGGCAUUUUAUUUUAGGUGUUCCAUUGUAGUUCCUAUUUAAUCCUUAAAAAAAAAAAAAUAAUAUUUGUGCAAAACUGCUAAGAGAAAUAUUGACUUCCCAACAUCUAUUAACUAUAUUUAAUCUCAUCAAAAAGGACAACUCUUAUACAUGAUGUAUGAUUUUUAAAAAAAAAAUUAAACAACACUAAUAUAUGAAUUGGCUGAGCAUAAAAUUCACAAUCAUAAUAUAUAAGUUAAUUUAACUAUAAACUUACCAGAUAUGUAAUCAGGAAAUUAAAAUUAAAAAUCAAUGAGAUUCAAAUAAAUAAGAUAUAUAUCCUUUUUUCUACAUAGGAAACCUUAGUUGUUGAUUAAUUAUGAUGAAUAUACGUACAUUGCCCCGUUUAGAAAAAUAUAUAUCUAUACAAAUACAGUUACUUAAAGAGGAAAAAGAAAAUUGAACGAAACAAAGAAAAUAAAUUCUAUGACUGUGGAAUUACUAAUACUAAUAAAUACAUUUAAACUCACCUUUUUAUUCAUCCAAACAUGUGAUUUGAUUUCUAUUAUAUAUAAAUAUUAUAUAUAAUUAAUUGAAAUGCAAACUUAUUCUACGUUUAUAACUAUAUGAUAAAGUUGCAAGAUUGCCUAAAGCCUUAAAAUAUUAAAUCUUGUGUGUUUCGAUCAUAUAUAUAUUCCUGAAAUGUCAAUCAAACAGUAUAUGCAGUUACACUUAAUAAUUGAUCAAUGUCAACCACAUAUAUUACUUUAGAUGUUGAAAUGAGAUAUAAUGUGUUAUCAAGUUAAUGAUGUCAAUAUGUUCAAAAAAAAAGUUAAUGAUGUCAAUAAAAAUUAAUGCGAAUCAUGAUCUAAUGGAAUAAAAUCAUAUAUGCAUGUAAACAUCAUUAGUGUUUUUCAAUUAAAUGAUCAUAUGAUUAAUGUUCCCUUUGAAAAAUCAAAAACUGCUGUACUAUACUGUUCCUCGUGGAGGAGGUGGUUUCGUGGUCCAUGUGUAGUAUCUAGAAGUGGGUAUCUAAGAACAAAAGCAAGAAAUGACAUAAAUAUAAAUAUAUAUAUAUAUAUAUACAUAUAAAUAUGUAUUUUGAGAGAGAGACCCAAGGGGAGAGUGGUUUUGGAUAAGGUAGGAUGGACAUUGAUUGAAAAGGCCAGUCUUUGCUGCAAAUUUUUUGUACAAUUAUAAUUGGAUUAAUGCAUUAAAAUCUAAGGAAAUUAAUAUGUGGUGAAUGCUCACUCUUAAAGAAGAUUGUUACUGCAUUAAUAAUGUCCAAGAAAUACAAUUUAAAACUAAAACUAAUCACAAAAUUAAAAUUAGAAUUUAAUUGAAAUUAGACAAAGAAAAACUUAACUUGAAAAUGAAUGAAUCAUGAAUCUUUAUUGCUUGAAUAGUCAGUAGUAUACAAAUGAGUAUGUCCAAGAAUAAAACUCAACACAAUGAAUGAUUACAAAGAGAUGUCUUACAUUAAGGAAAAUUACUUCAAGAGUGAUACUCCCAUUAUAUCCCUUCACAUACUCACUCACUAUGAUAUUAGACUUUUUCUCUCUAAACUUGAAUUUGAAUCUAAAGUAUGAGUCUUGGAGAUUAGAGAUCAGAACUCAGAACUCCCUUUAAGAAUAGAGGAACACCUAUUUAUAGUUGUUGGUGUGGUUCCCUUUAAGUUGCUAUUAAAGUCAACUGUUAUAACUAAUAAUAGUUUCUUCAGAUUCAUCUGAUGAGCAAAUAAACUUACCGACUUGACAGGUUAAAUAAGUUUAAUCCCGACAUAAUAUGUAUAAACUUAGAAGUUUAAUGUAAUCUCUCACCUAAGAAUGAGGUGGAGAUAUAUAUGAUCUCUAAAAAUAGAUUCUUGCAUAAGUUUUACUAUUAUAAAAUUGGCUUUCUUUUUUAUAUUAUUUUCUAUCAAUUCCUAAGACUGUUGGUGUUGUGAUAUUUUUAAUACGCAAGUGUACGUAUCGUAACAAGUAAUAGAUUCAUCAAGAGUGAGGUCGAUCUAAUGUACAAGGAUUGUAGUUAAGUAUUUUAAAAUUAAAUCUUUACUUCUAUUUAGUUAAUUCAAAAUUUAAAAAAAAAAAUUAAAUUUAAGAACACUAAAGAGACAGUAAAAUUAAAAAACAAGUAAUUCAAAGAGAAAUUAACAAUGAUUAAAGUUAGGGCUUCGAUUUCAAUUGUAUUUAUUGAUUAUGGCCUAAUAUGAUUAUCUUCCUAUUACCAAUAUCUAUGCAAUAGCAUUUACUAAGAUAAUUUAUAGUCUUAUCAAAUAUAUAAAUCUCAAUUAUAUGUAAAUUUUCUACUCUCGUGAUAAAUUAAACAUGCAACAAGCAUUAAACACAGAAACCCUAUAAAUUAUCUAAGCUAUACAGGUACUCUUCUCCUAUAUCGAAAUUCAGUUCAAUCUCACUAUAGCAUAAUUGACACUCACUUUUCAGAUCUCGUAUCAAAAUCAUAGACAGUUAAUUAGUAAUCAGGCAAUUAAAAGAAAUUAAGUACAAAUGAAAUAGAAUACAUAGAAACUGAGGGAAAAUAAAUCAUACUAAAAUCAUAAAACAAUGUAAACAACAUCCAUCUAAACCCUAAUUAAGUGUUUAGUCAAUCAUGUUCAUGGAAGCAAGAUCACACAUGCUAACUAAAGAAAAGAGAAGAAAUAGAAAAUAAAAGAAUGUUGAAAAUCCUUUGAAGAAUGCCUCCAGUAUUGCAGUUGAUUUCUGAAAUUCAUACUAUAUCUUCUGCUAUUUAUUUCCUCCCAAAUUGCUUGCUCAAAAAUAUUGAAGUCCACUUCUGUUAUAGCCAAAAAAAAUGAUAAAAUAAAAUAAAAAAAACGCUGAAAAAAAACAUAUUCUGCUUAGGAUUAGAAAAUUUAUUCUGCUUGAGUUUUCUACUGCGUUGACUGAUAGUAUUUUGACCAUAACUCUCUCGAUAUUGCUCAGAAUCGGACAAUUCAAGAUGUUCCAAAAAGAUAAAAGAGAGAUCUAGAACUUUUAUGUUUUAACUUUCUCCAAAUCUAAUCAGAUCAUAGUCAAAUUUAGGCUUGAAAUUUCAGCUUUAUUUUUUAGCACAAUUUUCUCUAUUUUAUAGUUCAUCUUUUUGUGAGAUCUUUUUAUCUUUUUUCCAUCUUAUUCCUUUGAAAUUUUUUUUAAUCUUCUUCUAUUUUAAAUCUGCAAAAAUAAAAGAUAAAAAGCGUAAAAUUACUUCAAACAAGAGUAGAACUAAAUUAAAAAUACACUAAAAAUUAAUCUAAAAAUAACCUAACAAACUUCCCCAAACUAAACUUUUACUUGUCCUCGAAUAAAACACUAAAGCGAAAAAUAAAAGUUAAACAAGUCAACCUAGAACGUGAGUAAUUUUUAAAGUAAGCUCAAUAACAUGAUUAUAAAAAAUUUCACUUAUGCAUACAAUCCAGAAUUUCAAUUCAAUUACACCCUUGACAUACUUCAACUUAUUUUCAUUCAGCUCAUGAAACAAUAGAAUGCAAUUAACUAACAAUUAAAUCACUUUAUGCAUGCCAAUUUCAACCAUUAAUCCACUAACUCAAAAUUUCAUAUGCUUGCAAUACUUACUAUUCUCCACUAAUAUUAAUUAAUGCACAACUAAUAAUCAAAAGGUCUUUCUAGACUUGUAGUGUUAGGCUUAGGUAAGAGUAGAUUAAAUGAUCAUUUAGGCUUGCCUAUACCGUAAGCUUCUUCAAUCAUGUCAUCCAAAUAUUUUUUUCACACACAAUCACAAUACCUCUUUCUUCUAAUUACAUGAGAGAAUUUUUUUUUUCACAAGAUUGCAGCAACUUUAUAUUGAUUUUUUUUUCCUGAAUUUGACACUGGUUGUCAGAUUUUUUUUCUUUUCAAGUUGUUGUCAAUCUAAUUUUUUUUUAUAUAUUCUCUUAAUUUUCACACUUUUUCCGUCACACAUACAACAAACUUUCCAUCCAAAUUCCUCCAAACUAAAAAUUUACUUAUGGUAUAAUUAGAGUUAAAUCCUUAGAUAUUCAUGGGUUUAUCUUUUUUAGGCUCAUAAUGUGUAGAAACAAAGAACAUGUUAAGACUCAAAAAGGGUAAGUAGGAUAAAAUUACAUGGAUGACUUGAAAGGCACAAUCGAUCCAAAAAAAUACCUAAAUCACUUUUCUAGUCAUGCAUAAUGUAUUAUUUCGCCUCAAAUAGCAAGCAAGUUCUAGAAUUUAUCAAACAACUUUCCACAUGUCCCAAUUAGCAUACAUAAACUAAUUUAAUUACUAAAAAAUUACCUAAUAUGAUUCUAUGUUCUUUUAAAGCACAAAAUUAAAAUUAGUCAAGAGUAUAACACCACCAAGCACACCGAUUUUUUGAAAAAUAAAUUAACUUUUUAAAUCAUACUAUCUACCUACUUUUAAAGUGACUCACAUUAAGCAAAUUGACUCACAACA